AGGAAUCCUGGGCUGCAGGCAUUCCUUGGCCUGGUAGUCAGAUUUCUGGCACUUGUAGCAAGCUCCUGGGGGAGAAGGUUCUGGAGUAACGCCUGGCCACUGCGGUUCAGGCAUUUGGAAGUUCUUGUGUGCUGGAGAUGUGGCUGGGGUUUGUCUCACAGUGGAGGUUACCUAACCAAACUCCUGUAAAACCACACCACCUAUGCCUGUGAUGGGGACUAUCUGAAUCUACAGUGCCCUCGGCAUUCUACAAUAAGUGUCCAAUCGGCAUUUUAUGGACAAGAUUACCCAAUGUGUAGUUCCCAGAAGCCUGCCUGCCAGAGGGAAGACAGCUUAACUUGUGUGGCACCCACCACCUUCCAGAUGAAUUAAAAAACAAAACCGUGUGUGAAGACAAGGAGCUGAAACUGCACUGCCAUGAAUCCAAGUUCCUCAACAUCUACUCUGUGACCUAUGGCAGGAGGAUCCAGGAAAGGGACAUGUGCUCCUCCAAGGCAGAGCGGCUCCCCCCCUUUUCAUUCCCAAGAACAUACUCACAGUGAUUGAUCCAGCCAUUGGUAAUCUAAAACCUUCUUUGAAGCAGAAAGAUGGUGAAUAUGGUAUGAACUUCGACCCAAGCGAAUCGAAGGUUCUGAGGAAAGAUGGAAUCCUUGUUAGUGACUCUCUGGCAGCCUUUGCUUACAUUAGAGAUAGGUCAAUGAAUCAAAGCUUCCUAGAAAGCUGAUGGAUUUACUAAAGUCUUGUUAAUAAAUGUGCUGUUCAAUUAUAACACUCAGAUAACUAAAGGACAAUGACUUCAAGUUUGACAUGCCAACCACCGCUUCUAAGAUUCAGAAACACAGAGGCCUGAGUUCAGGCACUGUCACAACCAGGCAGUCAGCAAGAGAACCACAUAAACAGACAAAGUCACACUAUUUAGGAGUUGAGCUCCACAGAUGUCAUUCACUUUUGAAAAGUAGAAACCGGAGGAAUGUAUUUCUCUGCUCUAAAAUUUGGGAAGGAACUAGAAUUAUUGAAUUCCAACCCUGGCUGGAAGAAAAAUGAGCCAGAAGGUCACUUAGUAAACAAGACAGAUGAUGCCCCAUAAAGACAGAACCACUUUCUGGGUCAUGAGUGUUAUUCCUAAUGGUUGCCAAGGCUUCCCUUGUUAGUCUUCCCCGUGAGUAUGAAUCAGACUCAGC
rnacentral:lncRNA from 1 species